AUGUAGUUGGAACUGGGCUUAAUUUUUAUUGUUGCUCUCUUAAAAGAUGUCCAGUGUGAAGUGAAGCUGGUGGAGUCUGGUGGAGGCUUGGUGCUAUCUGGGGGUUCUCUGAAACUCUCUUGUGUAGCCUCUCGAUUCACUUUCAGUAGCUACUGGAUGACCUUGGUUCAGCAGACCCCUGGCAAAGCCCUGGAGUGGAUUGGAGAGAUUAAACCAGAUGGCAGUAGGACAAACUAUGCACCAUCCUUAAAGAAUCGAUUCACAAUCUCCAGAGACAAUGCCAAGAGCACCCUGUAUCUGCAGAUGAGCAAUGUGAGAUCUGAGGACACAGCCACUUAUUACUGUGUUAAAGACACAAUGAAUGAACUUCAGUGUGAAACUAGACAAAAACCUCACUGUCAGGCCACUCUGAACCACUAG